UCUUUUUGCGAAUACAGACUAACACGGCUGCUACUCUGAAACCUAUAUCAUAUGAUGGAAUCUCUAUGGAUAGUAAUUCCAUGCUCAAAUAAUAAUAUAGCAGUAGGAGUAUACUACUGACCCCCUGACCAGGAUGGUGAUAGUGACUGUGAAAUGCUCAGGGAGAUUAGAGAGGCUAUAACAAUAAAAAACAAGAAAAAUAAUGGGGGAUUUCAUCU